UACAGAGGGUGCAAGCGUUAAUCGGAAUUACUGGGCGUAAAGCGUGCGUAGGCGGUUUCGCAAGUCCGCUGUGAAAGCCCCGGGCUUAACCUGGGAAUGGCAGUGGAAACUAUGGGACUUGAAUCUGGCAGAGGGGGGUGGAAUGCGACGUGUAGCAGUGAAAUGCGUAGAGAUGUGGCGGAACACUGAUGGCGAAGGCAGCCCCCUGGGCCAAGAUUGACGCUCAGGCACGAAAGCGUGGGGAGCAAACAGG
rnacentral:rRNA from 1 species